GGUUACGGAAGCACAGGAGAAGGAGCCGCUAAUUCUGGCCCUGGAAGAGGUCUGGAGCUGGAGAACCUAGAGAGAAGCCAAGGGUGGAGACCCCACGGGUUCGGCCGGCCUCACCGAGAACCGGGAUCCCCCGCCCCCUCCGGAGGCCGGGCCAGGAGACCCGGCCCGCCCCUCAGCCUGUGGGCCCCGCGGCCUAAGCCCCCGCCUCACCGCCCCCGCGGGUUCAAGAACGUCUGGGGAGAGGCCGGGCCACUGGAGGCCAACAGGGCCAGAAGCUCGCCCUGCUGUCCCUUACCUGGGAUCGGGGCAGUCCGGACCGGCUCGGAGCGGAGAAUUCGCGGACUCUGGUCAGUCGACGCGAACAGGCUCCGGCGGGCGCGGGCGGAGGACCGGGGCCCAGAGGGAGCGGCUGACAGAUCCCGGAAAUGGCCACGGCGCCUGCGCGGCGCGUCCGCCAGGCAGUCUGCGCACGCGCGCAGCUUGGGCGCGCGCGGCCCGAGUCCAGAGCGGAAAGUUUCCUCGGACUCGCGGACCGAACCGUGGAGCGUUGGCGCUUUCACAAGUGGUUUUGUCAGGAGAUGAAUUAGUGAGAACUGAGGCCUUUUCGAGCCACAUGGACCCGACGAACGACUAGUCUUUUCCCUUCAGAGGGAAGUUUCCCUCUUCAGAUCCAGUUUCCUACUGUGGAAACCUCUGAGGCCCUCCCCGAGGAAACUUCUCGACCUUUCCUCGGUCGGAAUCACGUAUUCCCUGCUCCCAAAGUGGCGCCACGACACAGAGGAGUUGGGAUUCGUCAACUCCAAGCCCCCAACACGUGGAAAAAGUGUUAAAAGCAAAAUAUGUAAGAAGUGGCCUUGGCCUCCAGAUUUACAGGAUAGUGAACUACAGACUUAUCAAAUUAAGAAAACGUGGAGGCAGCGCUUGCUGUACAGAUUUGGCUUCUACAAAAUGCCCUGAACCCCGCUUCCAGCUAGACUUGGCGCCCUUGAACUGGUAGAAAUUCUGGAGCAGCACUCCUGGCUUCGCAGCCACUGCUAGUCACCAGCAGAGUGCCUCUGGUGGUUUACGAGUUUGACCCCAGUGUUUGCCUAGAAGGUGAUGUUCACACAAGUGAGCCCGUCCCGUUCCUGAUGUCAGAACCACACUCUGUUUUCUAGGAUUAGUUAUUCCAGUUGUUCAAGGAGCAUUGCAUUGGGAGCAAUUGGUUUCAUUUUGCCCCAAGGCUACAAAGUUGGUUCUGGGGAGAUGAAGGACAGAUUGAGAGAACAGAAGGAUCAUUUUAAAUUAAUUACUUCCCUCUCAGUGACACUAUCUUGGCAUAGGAAGGAAGGCAUACGUAGAAGCAAGCGUUCCUCGUGCGUCUGCAAGUUGACGUGAGCCAAUCCAGAAGUAUGUAGAAUUGGUAUCUGGAGUCAAAAUAUUAACUGUUUUAUUUAGAUCUUUACAAAGAACCGUUCCUUCUUCGGAGGAGUUUAUAAUCUGGAUAGAUGAGAAUAAUGCAAAUCAGUAAACCUUGAUGAAGGUUUUGAUACAAGUCGAUGCCAGGGAUGGCCUCCUGAUGCCAGGUCCAGAGCAUUUCCCAUUAUCCCGUCAAGCCCUGGUUAUAAGAGCAAUUGGCGUUCCAAGGAGGGUGAGUUAUAUUCAGUGUUUGUUUUUUACUUGCAUAAGGACACUGAUCUUGUAUUCCAAGUGAGGAUUCUCUCUUAAAAAAUUAGCACCAGAGAAGGUGGUACUUAGAAAUGGGAAAUGGGAGGAAAUGAAGGGUUGGAUACUGUCACGGGAUGAUUUUGUUUGUGUUAUUGAUUCAGUUGAAAUUAGAACAGGAUUGAACUGGAAUUUGGUCAGACUUCAAGUCAUCAAGAAGUUAAUGAGUACUCACCAAGUGCCGAGUAUUGUGUUAGGCAUUUCAGUAAAUUAGAGAAGAGUCGGGUAAGAUCUUUCCAUCCUCAAGGAGCUAAGAAGCUAGGAUAAGACCAGUUUACACAUAAUUUUAAAUACACAGAACUACCCAGUGCCUCAAACCAGUAAGGUCCUACUUAAUACUUGUUGAAUGAAACUAUGAAUGAAUGAAAUAUGCAGUGAGGGACUUCAAAGAACACAAUAUUACCACCAGUUGUGAGUGGGAGGAGAGGCUUGUGUAGACACAUCAGGAAAGUACCCAAUGGUAGGUCAAAAAGAUUACUUGUUUGCAAAGGUCUAAAGAUUUCUUACUGCUCAGGAGGGAUUUGAUUUAGUAUCUGGAAUGUGGUUUGUAGGGUAAGAAGAUUGGUUUUUGCUUUAACUCCAGCUGAACAACAGUGAACACCGCCAAUCUGCCUCUAUUUUGUUGUUGUUUUAAUUUUUAUUUUUUUAAAGUAAUCUCUACACCUAACAUGGAGCUCGAACUCACACCCCACGAUCACAAGUGUCAUGCUCUUCCAACUGAGCCAGCCAGGCACCCCUCUGCCUCCAUUUUGUAUCUUACAUGGGUUAAUGCCUACCAUCUACUCACCAUAAAGGCUGUUGGAAAUAUAUAUCGAAUCAAUGCCUGUAAAGGUUAUAAGUAAACAAAAGGACAAAAGCAUAAAUGCAUGCACUGUGUUAAUGCUUAAUAAUGCGUAUGCUUUAGAUAUUGCCCUAAUUGCCCCGCUCCUUUAGACAUAUCCUAAAUGGUUCCAAGGAGGGAAAGUUUCCUAUAGAAAGGAUCUUGUACAAUUCGGUACAGAGGACUGAAAAAUGCAUGCAAGUUUUGGCACUCUAGGCUGCUUCCCCGGUUCAUUCCCAUAGUGCAGGGAUGGGACCAGUUAGUUUGUGGGGUGUCUAGAAACAUAAGAUCGUCUCAGAUGGUAUAUAAAUACCAAAGUUUAACAAAUACACUUAUAAGACAAACACACAAGCAAACUUAUGAAUACCAGGUAUGGUUUUCCUAAUUUCACUAGCCUGUAAAUCUGGAGGCCAAGGCCACUUCUUAACGCAUUUCGCUUCUAAUGCUUUUUCCACGUUGUUAUGCAAACUUAGAUUAUUUUAAUAGAAAGAUAGUAUGAUAGAGUACUUAAGAGAAUUCAUUGACUUUGGAAAUAAAUAGGACUGGGUUCAAACUCUGCA
ensembl:lncRNA